CCUACGGGUGGCAGCAGUGAGGAAUAUUGGUCAAUGGACGCAAGUCUGAACCAGCCAAGCCGCGUGAAGGAUGACUGCUCUAUGGGUUGUAAACUUCUUUUAUAUGGGAAUAAAACAAGAUAUGCAUACCCGCUUGUAUGUACCAUAUGAAUAAGGAUCGGCUAACUCCGUGCCAGCAGCCGCGGUAAUACGGAGGAUGCGAGCGUUAUCCGGAUUUAUUGGGUUUAAAGGGUGCGUAGGUGGAUUGAUAAGUUAGUUGUGAAAUGGUGAGGCUCAACCUCAAAAUUGCAGUUGAAACUGGCAGUCUGGAGUGUAGUAGAGGUGGGCGGAA
rnacentral:rRNA from 1 species